rnacentral:lncRNA from 1 species
UAUAAAGCUUAGAAAAUAAUAACAAUAUUUAUCACCUGAACUAUUGUGAUUUUAACAUACUUUGAAUUAUUUUCUAAUUAGACUCCUUAAUAAAUUGUCUGGAAAAUACAGAUCCACUAAAGGGAUUGUGUCAUGGGUUCUCUGAGUUACUCAAAUCUGCUCCACAAUUUCAUAUAAACUCAACCUUCAGCGCGUACUCAGGGACCAUGCAGAUGAUGUGUGACUCCCGCCCGGCUCUCCGUCACUGAUGAGGACACUUGACAUUUCAUCAAGGAGGCAUUUGAGAACCAGGUAGGAGCUCGCCAGAAACGUAAGGGCCAUCAGGCGUUGAGAAAGCCACUUGCAAUUGAUUGGUCCCACUAAACAGCUUCGGUUCCAGGCUCCUGACAGGACCUGGGCAUUUCCGAUUGCUUCCUUCAUUCAAUUUUUCUGUGACAGUUUUCAGUUUUAUUUUGAGGAAAAGAAUAUCUUUCUUAAAAGACUGACUUAAGUUAAAUUUCUCAACACACUGUCACCUCUCUGCUAGCGCACUAUUCAAAUUUGCUGGUGUUCUGAUUCAUAACAGGGAGGAAACAUCUUUAUAGUUCGAUAAUAACUUCAGGAGUCAUUGAAAAAUCAUCCCAGUAUUUCUCCUUAAUAUUUGGGGUGUUGUGGAAGGAAGC